AUACGGAGGAUGCAAGCGUUAUCCGGAUUUAUUGGGUUUAAAGGGUGCGUAGGCGGAUGAUUAAGCGUGAGGUGAAAUGCCACUGCUCAACAGUGGAACUGCCUCGCGAACUGGUUGUCUUGAAUGCUCCUGCCGUGGGAGGAAUGUGUGGUGUAGCGGUGAAAUGCAUAGAGAUCACACAGAACACCGAUUGCGAAGGCAUCUCACGAAGGGGUGAUUGACGCUGAGGCACGAAAGCGUGGGGAUCAAACAGGAUUAGAUACCCUGGUAGUCCACGCAGUAAACGAUGAUAACUAACCGCUGGGUCGUAGUGAUUCAGUGGCCAAGCGAAAGCGAUAAGUUAUCCACCUGGGGAGUACGACCGCAAGGUUGAAACUCAAAGGAAUGGACGGGG
rnacentral:rRNA from 1 species